GGUAACUUGGAAGAGUCUGGAAUGAACCAUAACAUUUGUAGACCAACAGAUGCCGUCUGCUUUUCCGUUACACUGACCGAGUCAACUCGCAUAAGACAAGAUAGAUCAAACUGUAAAGUAUGAAGUUACACAGGGGGCUUUUAGGGGAGAAGGAGAAGGCAGCUGCAUCGAGGAGGAGAUAAGGUUCCAAGACUAAAAACCCUUCUCCGUUGUCCUUCAUUUCUACAAAACAUAAAAAUCCCCGUUGAAGAAAACACAAAUUUGCAAACAAGAGGUCAUUUUGAGAAGGGCGGUUCAAGCGAAAUUGCGACCUGGAAAGGAAGCGACAGUCCGAGUUUCAGAUGUUGCGAAAUAGGACGAAAUAAGGCAAAACUUUUGGUGAGGGUGGAAUCAGGAAUGGCGUGAAAUCCCUAAUCAAAUCAUCUUCCUCACACCGCCAAAUGGAUGCAGGGCGUUUUUGUGCUUAGAGUGCUUGUAGUAUGAGGCUGGCGGGGAUGGAGGACACGGCGGAGCUGCUGGAGAAGAAGCAAGCGUCGGAAAUUUCGAAGAUGAGCUUAGAGGAGGCACUCACUCUCGCUCGUGCUUUCAGCCAUUACCUCAAUUUGAUGGGCGUUGCUGAAGUUCAUCACAGGUCACUGAACGACUUGGGAAAAAAAAAAUUGGGUUAAAUUUCAUAUAUCUCUUAGUGACAUAUUUUACAACCAAUCGACUCUUGCUUGCUUCAUCAUCAGUAGUAGCAACUCUUAAUCCCCAAUCUAUGAAUUAACUCCUGCUUUCUUCAUCAUCUGUCAAUUUGUUAGUCUAUGGUUGGUGAAUGAAUUUUGGCAGAGUUUGUUUGUUGGAAUGAAGAAGCAAUCACCAGAUGCACUUUCUUCUCAUCCCUAGUAAUAUUUGUUCUUUCAAGCAAUGGUAGAUUUUCUACUCAAGAGUUUUAAACAUGUAUCUCAUUAUCUGGUUUACUAGGGGUUGAGGACAUUAUGUGGUCAGUAUCUUCUAAAGUUGGUAUUUUUUCCCCAAGUUUUCUUUUGAACGUUUGCCAUUGUUGUCUUUUCAAAAUAAUGUUGAUCCAAUAUGCUUACUUAGGACUACAUGCAUAUAGCCACGCAUAUCGCCUGAGCGUAACUAAUUAAUACAGAGACUUAGAAUAUUCUUAUUCUGGAAUAAGCCUUGGCUGGCUAGCUAUUCUUUGCAUAUGUCCUGACCUAUAAGGAACCUUAUUAAAAAAGGAAUAUGAGGUCUGCUAGCUCCUUCAUAUCAGCAGAAGUAUUGUGUAGGCUUUGUUUCUUCAGUUUCUUUUUGGGUUUAGCUGUCUUCUUCCUGUGCAAAGCUUCUUAACUUUGCUUUGGAUUUCCAUUUUCAUUUGUUUGUUUUAUUGUGUUUAGUAACUUUUAAGGAGGUGAAUCUCAACUGGAUAAUCUCAUUAGGCACCAGAAGAUUGUAUCUUUCUGGCGAGUUCCUGUUAUCUUAUAUUUCUCUUUUGUAUCGGGUUGUUUCAGUAAGGAUCAAAGAACUUGCAGUUUUAUAUCAAUCACUUAAUCUUCAGUGAUAGGGAAGCUAACAUUGAACCAGCAAUGUCAUCACAUACGGUGCACAACCCAACAAGCAGAAAACUGACUGAAGCAGCAUGUCAUUGCAAUUCUUGCUCCACUUUUUGUUUAGAUAUUACUGGAGCAAGCAAUUUUUUGAUAGGCUAACACGUUUUGUUUGUAUACACCUAGACCAACUAGAACAACUACUUUUUGGAAAAUAUUCCAGCAACAACUGUAAAUAAGUAAACCUUGGAUAGCCUAUUUUUUGAACACUCCACUAUGAUAAGAUCAUCCUUUGUUUUAGAUGAUCUGCAGUAAUGAAAACAGUUCUAUCAUUUAUACUCA